UACGGGAGGCAGCAGGGGGGAAUAUUGGACAAUGGGCGAAAGCCUGAUCCAGCAAUGCCGCGUGUGUGAAGAAGGCCUGCGGGUUGUAAAGCCCUUUCGGUAGGGAAGAAAUCUCUUGUUCUAACAAAACAAGGGUUUGACUUAACCUACAUAAGAAGCACCGGCUAACUCUGUGCCAGCAGCCGCGGUAAUACAGAGGGUGCGAGCGUUGUCCGGAAUCACUGGGCGUAAAGGGCGUGUAGGUGGCUUGGUAAGCCGCGUGUGAAAGCCCGGGGCUCAACCCCGGAACGGCACGCGGGACUGUCAGGCUCGAGCAUGGUAGAGGCGAGUGGAAUUCCUGGUGUAGCGGUGGAAUGCGUAGAGAUCAGGAAGAACACCGGUGGCGAAGGCGGCUCGCUGGGCCAUUGCUGACACUGAGGCGCGAAAGCGUGGGGAGCAAACAGGAUUAGAUACCCUGGUAGUCCACGCCGUAAACGAUGGGCACUAGGCGUCGGGGGGAGCGACCCUCCCGGUGCCGUCGCUAACGCAAUAAGUGCCCCGCCUGGGGAGUACGGCCGCAAGGUUGAAACUCAAAGGAAAUGACGG
rnacentral:rRNA from 1 species